rnacentral:rRNA from 1 species
ACGCAUGCAAGUCGAGGGGCAGCAUGGUCUUUGCUUGCUAAGGCCGAUGGCGACCGGCGCACGGGUGAGUAACACGUAUCCAACCUGCCGUCUACUCUUGGACAGCCUUCUGAAAGGAAGAUUAAUACAAGAUGGCAUCAUGAGUCCGCAUGUUCACAUGAUUAAAGGUAUUCCGGUAGACGAUGGGGAUGCGUUCCAUUAGAUAGUAGGCGGGGUAACGGCCCACCUAGUCUUCGAUGGAUAGGGGUUCUGAGAGGAAGGUCCCCCACAUUGGAACUGAGACACGGUCCAAACUCCUACGGGAGGCAGCAGUGAGGAAUAUUGGUCAAUGGGCGAGAGCCUGAACCAGCCAAGUAGCGUGAAGGAUGACUGCCCUAUGGGUUGUAAACUUCUUUUAUAAAGGAAUAAAGUCGGGUAUGGAUACCCGUUUGCAUGUACUUUAUGAAUAAGGAUCGGCUAACUCCGUGCCAGCAGCCGCGGUAAUACGGAGGAUCCGAGCGUUAUCCGGAUUUAUUGGGUUUAAAGGGAGCGUAGAUGGAUGUUUAAGUCAGUUGUGAAAGUUUGCGGCUCAACCGUAAAAUUGCAGUUGAUACUGGAUAUCUUGAGUGCAGUUGAGGCAGGCGGAAUUCGUGGUGUAGCGGUGAAAUGCUUAGAUAUCACGAAGAACUCCGAUUGCGAAGGCAGCCUGCUAAGCUGCAACUGACAUUGAGGCUCGAAAGUGUGGGUAUCAAACAGGAUUAGAUACCCUGGUAGUCCACACGGUAAACGAUGAAUACUCGCUGUUUGCGAUAUACUGCAAGCGGCCAAGCGAAAGCGUUAAGUAUUCCACCUGGGGAGUACGCCGGCAACGGUGAAACUCAAAGGAAUUGACGGGGGCCCGCACAAGCGGAGGAACAUGUGGUUUAAUUCGAUGAUACGCGAGGAACCUUACCCGGGCUUAAAUUGCAGAUGAAUUACGGUGAAAGCCGUAAGCCGCAAGGCAUCUGUGAAGGUGCUGCAUGGUUGUCGUCAGCUCGUGCCGUGAGGUGUCGGCUUAAGUGCCAUAACGAGCGCAACCCUUGUUGUCAGUUACUAACAGGUUCCGCUGAGGACUCUGACAAGACUGCCAUCGUAAGAUGUGAGGAAGGUGGGGAUGACGUCAAAUCAGCACGGCCCUUACGUCCGGGGCUACACACGUGUUACAAUGGGGGGUACAGAGGGCCGCUACCACGCGAGUGGAUGCCAAUCCCCAAAACCUCUCUCAGUUCGGACUGGAGUCUGCAACCCGACUCCACGAAGCUGGAUUCGCUAGUAAUCGCGCAUCAGCCACGGCGCGGUGAAUACGUUCCCGGGCCUUGUACACACCGCCCGUCAAGCCAUGGGAGCCGGGGGUACCUGAAGUGCGUAACCGCAAGGAGCGCCCUAGGGUAAAACUGGUGACUGGGGC